UAACGAAUAUUCCGCAAUGGGCGCAAGCCUGACGGAGCGACGCCUCGUGGAGGAUGAAUUCCCUCGGGAUGUAAACUCCUUUUAGGUUUAGGAAAGCAAGGGUGGCUAAUACCCAUCUGCGUUGAUCCAGACCAGAAAAAGCCUCGGCUAACUCUGUGCCAGCAGCCGCGGUAAUACAGAGGAGGCAAGCGUUGUUCGGAAUCACUGGGCUUAAAGCGCGUGUAGGCGGUCUGGCAAGUACUUUGUGAAA
rnacentral:rRNA from 1 species